rnacentral:rRNA from 1 species
GUGCCAGCCGCCGCGGUAAAACGUAGGAGGCGAGCGUUAUCCGGAUUUACUGGGCGUAAAGCGCGUGCAGGCGGUACGGAAAGUUGGAUGUGAAAGCUCCCGGCUCAACUGGGAGAGGUCGUUCAAAACUACCGAACUAGAGUACAGUAGAGGGAAGUGGAAUUCCGGGUGUAGUGGUGAAAUGCGUAGAUAUCCGGAGGAACACCAGUGGCGAAAGCGGCUUCCUGGACUGAAACUGACGCUCAGACGCGAAAGCUAGGGUAGCAAACGGGAUUAGAUACCCGCGUAGUCC